UACGUAGGGUGCGAGCGUUGUCCGGAAUUAUUGGGCGUAAAGAGCUCGUAGGCGGUCUGUCGCGUCGGUCGUGAAAACUUGGGGCUUAACCCUGAGCUUGCGGUCGAUACGGGCAUGACUGGAGUUCGGUAGGGGAGACUGGAAUUCCUGGUGUAGCGGUGAAAUGCGCAGAUAUCAGGAGGAACACCGGUGGCGAAGGCGGGUCUCUGGGCCGUAACUGACGCUGAGGAGCGAAAGCGUGGGGGAGCGAACAGG
rnacentral:rRNA from 1 species